rnacentral:rRNA from 1 species
UCUAGCAGGAUGUUGCUUACUUUUAGCUGAUCUCCGGAAAGCUUAAGCAGGCUCAGAUCUGGUUAGUAUUUGGAUGGGAACUCUUCAGGAAAGCCCAGAGCUCUACUAGCA